rnacentral:lncRNA from 12 species
AUUUUAAGAGUGUAUCUAAUUAUUCUUUUAAAUGUUGACAGAUACAAAGGCUGGUCUACAUGCACAAAUGUCGCUGAAAUAAUUUUUAGACUUAGAUUUUCAGGCUUUCCUUCUUUCACAGUGGAAAUUGAACCCUCCUGACCUGAACCUAUAUUUUACUUAGUCAUUUUGGAUAGCUGCACCUGCACUGCUCACUGCUUAAAGAAAGUUUACCACCUACAUGGCUUGUGUGAUGUGGAGAAUUGCUGCAGCACAGAGAGACUGCAAACCUGUUCAGUUAAAGGAAAUGCUCAGAUCCAGCUGUUGGAGUCCCACAAAUGCCAGUACUCCUCACAGAGAAAGUAAGACCAACGCACUCUGCCCUUGGAACAGAUACGACGAUUUGCGCCUUAAUUCUCCCGGAAAAAAAGAGCCUUUGUUGGGAGAGGGCGGCUGGGGAAAGGAGAAGGAAUGCAGAGCGUGUGCAGCACAUGCCCAGGGAGCCCACGUUCUGUGCAGAUCACACAGGCUCUACAGCAUGAGCCUGGUAACGAGGCACCAGCACAAGCACGUACGGUACAAGCUCCUGUUACAGACAUAGAAUUGUCUCGUAGGUUUUGGAAAUGCUUUCCUCUCAUGAAAUAACGUGUUGUGGAGUAACUUACCCCUGUGUCCUCACUUCCAGGGAGCAGGCCAGCAAGCACAGCCCUGGUGUGUGACCAUACACUGCACUGUUUGUGCCUGGGCUUUCAGUUGCC